CCUACGGGUGGCAGCAGUGAGGAAUAUUGGUCAAUGGGCGUAAGCCUGAACCAGCCAAGUCGCGUGAGGGAUGAAGGUUCUAUGGAUCGUAAACCUCUUUUAUAAGGGAAUAAAGUGUGGGACGUGUCCUAUUUUGUAUGUACCUUAUGAAUAAGGAUCGGCUAACUCCGUGCCAGCAGCCGCGGUAAUACGGAGGAUCCGAGCGUUAUCCGGAUUUAUUGGGUUUAAAGGGUGCGUAGGCGGCCUUUUAAGUCAGCGGUGAAAGUCUGUGGCUCAACCAUAGAAUUGCCGUUGAAACUGGGGGGCGUGAGUAUGUUUGAGGCAGGCGGAAUGCGUGGUGUAGCGGUGAAAUGCUUAGAUAUCACGCAGAACUCCGAUUGCGAAGGCAGCUUACUAAACUGCCACUGACAUUGAUGCUCGAAAGUGUGGGUAUCAAACAGGAUUAGAUACCCGUGUAGU
rnacentral:rRNA from 1 species